rnacentral:lncRNA from 1 species
AAAAGCUGGCGGGAAAGCUGGGCCAUGACACCCAGAUUAUCAUUGCCAGUGAAACCAACCUUGGUGGAAUCAUCUCAUUUGUGCUCCAGAGUUAGACGGCAAAGGCAGUGAAGGCAGAAGAGCCUGGUUAUGGACCAGAGAUGAAUGGGAGGCGUCUGAUUCAGGAUAUGCAGAAAAUCCAACAGCUCUGUUCUAUCAAUACGAAGAAGAGACCAAGAUGUUGCUGAAGGAAAUAUCCUAGCCACUUGGAAUGAUGCUAUCAGAAGAAGUAAAAAAAUGAUCCUGUAUUGCACAUUUGAAGUAGGAUAUUAAGUACAGUAAGAGUGAAUAAGUUGAGAAUACAUUUACAAUUUAGUUUUGUAAGCAAAUGGUGUUCUCAUGAUAAUUUUUGUGGUUCUUUUAAUAUUUAAUUUUACUUUUCACAUUUAAUUUUUCUUAGUAUUGGCGACAAAUUGUCAUAAGCAGUCAACGUUUUAGUCUGGUCUUUCUUUCUAGCCUUUCCACUGUCUUUUUCUCCAUGUCGCUUUGCGAACAGAGGCUGCAGUUUUGAGGGGUUUGGAAAGUUGAUGAUAAUAACCUAGCCGAGGGGAUAUAUAUAAAAAUAAUCCUGGAAAGAUGAAUGUGCAAAGAUGUUUAUGACAACCUGAUAGUGAAAAAUUGGAAAUGUUUUAAAGUUGAAUUGCUGGAGAUAUGUCAAAUAAAUCAUAGUACAGUUAAAUAGAGCAACACUCUGCAGCUAUUUAAAACAGUGAGGUAGAGCAACAUGCAUAGAUAUGGGAAUGCACUUAAAUCACAUUUUAAUUUAGCAUAGGUUUGAGUAUUUUUGAAAAAAAAAUAACCAAAAUGUUUAUAGUAUCACAUUUCCUGGUGGUAGAAUUAUGAGUGACUACAAAACUGGCCACAAAUUCUUCCAAUGUGCGUCCUUCUAUCAAAUAUUGGAAUCUGUUUCUCUAUUCCUUGAAUCUGGGUUGCCCAAGUGAAUGGGUUUUCCAAUAGACUGUUGGCACCAGGGACACAAUCAGAGGCUUGAAAAGAGCUUGUACGUUGGAACUUGCCUUCUUGCUUCUCCUGGGAACCCUGCUACUGCCACCAUGAGAAUGAAGCUGGACAAGCCUAAUGGAGAAUGAGACACUUAUGGACCAGCCACCUCUAAACAGUCCCCAGAAAUGGUGCCACCUAACUUCAUAGCAGUAGAAAAAUCUCUCAAGACAUUUCCCUGAGGAGGUGGCUAUGAUGGUAGAACUUACAAGACUUCAGUGGACAUAAGAUAGAGCUGCUCGAGUCAGAGUCAAACCUUUUUGGAGGAGGGGAAAUCUUGGAUUGAGAGCGUGACUGAUACAGGCACCCAUCCUUGUCUCUGCUCCAGAUUACAGGAAUCUCUGAAGAGGCGAGUGCUGGGUGCCUCUAGUCAACCAUGUUGAUGACGUCCUUUCUAGAAAACACCCUGAUACCUUGUGCCUGUGCUUCCAAGGUGGCUGACGCUGUGCCUGUGCUUCCGAGGUGGCUGACUUCUAACUGAGUGCAGUGGAGACCCCGUGGUGCUUUACAGAACAGAUGGCAGUGCUGCCCAAGCUCAGAACACAGCUGGACGGAUCCCCAUUUUUAAAAUGUUGCUUUUAAAGUUCCUUGGUCUAUUUUAAGUCUUAGACAAUAGAGCACUAAUUUGUGUCCACAGCUAGGGAAAAAGCACCCCAAAUACUCAUGUUAUGUCACUUUCAGUACCACAAUUCAAAUAGUGAAAGACGAUGCUUCCAUGUACCACGUAUAGGUCUCUACUAGUGAUUUUUCUCUCAUUUCAACCUAGCUUCACAUAUUUUUAUGGUAUAGCUAACUCAACAUUGAUUCUAUACAAAAUAUAUUAUCUAAGAUAGUCUUUAAAAAUAUUUGAAUUCCACUGGGAUUUGUUUAAACCCCUACACAAAUAAUUACCUCUUACUAAAAACACUGAGUUUGGCAAGUGAAAUUUUGUAAUAAGGUGAAGAUUCAAUAAAAUCUUGUCUCAAACUAAUG